UACAGAGGUCUCAAGCGUUGUUCGGAUUCAUUGGGCGUAAAGAGCUCGUAGGCGGUUCGGUAAGUCGGGGGUGAAAACUUUGGGCUCAACCCAAAGCGUGCACUCGAUACUGCUGUGACUAGAGUUCGGUAGGGGAGUGGGGAAUUCCUAGUGUAGCGGUGAAAUGCGCAGAUAUUAGGAGGAACACCGGUGGCGAAGGCGCCACUCUGGGCCGAAACUGACGCUGAGGAGCGAAAGCGUGGGUAGCAAACAGG
rnacentral:rRNA from 1 species